CUGUGAGCUCGAUGAGUAGGGCGGGACACGUGGUAUCCUGUCUGAAUAUGGGGGGACCAUCCUCCAAGGCUAAAUACUCCUGACUGACCGAUAGUGAACCAGUACCGUGAGGGAAAGGCGAAAAGAACCCCGGCGAGGGGAGUGAAAAAGAACCUGAAACCGUGUACGUACAAGCAGUGGGAGCCUCUUAAUGGGGUGACUGCGUACCUUUUGUAUAAUGGGUCAGCGACUUAUAUUCUGUAGCAAGGUUAACCGAAUAGGGGAGCCGAAGGGAAACCGAGUCUUAACUGGGCGUUAAGUUGCAGGGUAUAGACCCGAAACCCGGUGAUCUAGCCAUGGGCAGGUUGAAGGUUGGGUAACACUAACUGGAGGACCGAACCGACUAAUGUUGAAAAAUUAGCGGAUGACUUGUGGCUGGGGGUGAAAGGCCAAUCAAACCGGGAGAUAGCUGGUUCUCCCCGAAAGCUAUUUAGGUAGCGCCUCGUGAAUUCAUCUCCGGGGGUAGAGCACU
rnacentral:rRNA from 1 species